rnacentral:rRNA from 1 species
UACGUAGGGGGCGAGCGUUGUCCGGAAUCAUUGGGCGUAAAGCGCGUGUAGGCGGUCCGGUAAGUCCGCUGUGAAAGUCGGGGGCUCAACCCUCGGAUGCCGGUAGAUACUGUCGGGCUUGAGUACGGAAGAGGCGAGUGGAAUUCCUGGUGUAGCGGUGAAAUGCGCAGAUAUCAGGAGGAACACCAAUUGCGAAGGCAGCUCGCUGGGACGUUACUGACGCUGAGACGCGAAAGCGUGGGGAGCAAACAGG